rnacentral:rRNA from 1 species
AUUGAACGCUGGCGGCAUGCUUUACACAUGCAAGUCGAACGGCAGCGCGGGGCUACCUGGCGGCGAGUGGCGAACGGGUGAGUAAUACAUCGGAACGUACCCAGAAGUGGGGGAUAACGUAGCGAAAGUUACGCUAAUACCGCAUACGUUCUACGGAAGAAAGUGGGGGAUCUUCGGACCUCAUGCUUUUGGAGCGGCUGAUGUCUGAUUAGCUAGUUGGUGAGGUAAAGGCUCACCAAGGCGACGAUCAGUAGCUGGUCUGAGAGGACGACCAGCCACACUGGGACUGAGACACGGCCCAGACUCCUACGGGAGGCAGCAGUGGGGAAUUUUGGACAAUGGGCGCAAGCCUGAUCCAGCAAUGCCGCGUGAGUGAAGAAGGCCUUCGGGUUGUAAAGCUCUUUUGUCAGGGAAGAAACGGCUGAGGAUAAUACCUUCGGCUAAUGACGGUACCUGAAGAAUAAGCACCGGCUAACUACGUGCCAGCAGCCGCAGUAA